rnacentral:rRNA from 1 species
UACGUAGGGGGCAAGCGUUGUCCGGAAUCAUUGGGCGUAAAGCGCGUGUAGGCGGCUCGGUAAGUCUGCUGUGAAAGUCCAGGGCUCAACCCUGGGAUGCCGGUGGAUACUGUCGAGCUCGAGUCCGGAAGAGGCGAGUGGAAUUCCUGGUGUAGCGGUGGAAUGCGCAGAUAUCAGGAGGAACACCGAUAGCGAAGGCAGCUCGCUGGGACGGUACUGACGCUGAGGUGCGAAAGCGUGGGGAGCGAACAGG